AAAGGAGUUAUCAACUUUUGGUUCAGUAAUACCACCUGAUGCAUUUCUGCCCUUUGGAAUUUGAAUUGUUGAACUUGUAAUAGUACCGAAAUAGCCUUUAGUCCCUUGCCAAGUUCCUUUCGAGAAGAUGUCGCUCGCACUAACUUAUGUUAAGCAGGUCUCCGACAACGUGCCUGCUUUCUCUUAUUUUAUGUGGGUAUCUUGCUCAUUGUACAUUACAUUCUCUUAAUCUAUAACAGAGAGUUAUCUCUAGCCUUCCUUGUGGAUUUCAAAUGACGAAAAACAUCAGAAAUAUUCAGCUCCCAAGUACGCAGUCUUUUGGAAUUCCGUUUCAUUCCUAAAGAUCAGAUUUCCCAAAUUGCUUCUACUCGGUCUGCUGACUCACACUCCUGAGAGAACGCCAUCUGCUAUUUUUGCUUUUGGGUAAACAUUGGGCAAUAUAAGAUAUUCAAUCAGUUUACACUCUGUUUGUUGUUUAGUUUCGCUAUGUUCUUCAGCUUUGUUGCUGCUACUCUUUUGAUCACUUCCGGGUGAGAUCAAUUUACCCUAUACAAUUUUCGUUAGUCUCUGCCUGUAGGUAUUUGAGAAAAUUACUCAAUGAAUUAGGCUUUUCUUUUGUAGCGGGGUGUACUGAUCAAAU
rnacentral:lncRNA from 1 species